rnacentral:lncRNA from 1 species
UACUGUUUAAUAGUUGAAAAAUAUGGACACGAAAAACGAAAAAAUCUUGGUUAGUUAAUCUCGAUAAAAAAACAUAGCGUAAGGAUUCCUUACGUUUAAUUAUUUUUAAUACAGUAUAACGCAGACGCUCACAACACACGCACACUCUCUUCUAAGAACCCAGAACCUCAAGUGCUACUAAGGCUUUUGUAACCACUGGGCUACAGGCUCUU